UACGUAGGGUGCAAGCGUUGUCCGGAAUUAUUGGGCGUAAAGAGCUCGUAGGCGGUCUGUCGCGUCUGCUGUGAAAACUCGGGGCUUAACCCCGGGCCUGCAGUGGGUACGGGCAGACUAGAGUACAGAAGGGGCAACCGGAAUUCCCAGUGUAGCGGUGAAAUGCGUAGAUAUUGGGAAGAACACCUGAGGCGAAGGCGGGUUGCUGGGCUGAUACUGACGCUGAGGAGCGAAAGCGUGGGAAGCAAACAGG
rnacentral:rRNA from 1 species